GACGAACGCUGGCGGCGUGCUUAACACAUGCAAGUCGAACGGAAAGGCCCGGCUUUUGUGGGGUGCUCGAGUGGCGAACGGGUGAGUAACACGUGAGUAACCUGCCCUUGACUUUGGGAUAACUUCAGGAAACUGGGGCUAAUACCGGGUAGGAGCUCCUGCUGCAUGGUGGGGGUUGGAAAGUUUCGGUGGUUGAGGAUGGACUCGCGGCUUAUCAGCUUGUUGGUGGGGUAGUGGCUUACCAAGGCUUUGACGGGUAGCCGGCCUGGGAGGGUGACCGGCCACAUUGGGACUGGGGUACGGCCCAGACUCCUACGGGCGGCAGCAGUGGGGAAUAUUGCACACUGGGCGGAGGCCUGAUGCAGCAACGCCGCGUGCGGGAUGACGGCCUUCGGGUUGUAAACCGCUUUCGCCUGUGACGAAGCGUGAGUGACGGUAAUGGGUAAAGAAGCACCGGCAAACUACGU
rnacentral:rRNA from 1 species